UUAGUCCUCCUUCUUCCAUCUGUUUUUUCUCUAGAACUUUCUAGUCCCACUUCCUAUUUUUUAUAUUACUCACAAUACUCACUCUCUGUCCUUAAUUAUCAACACCCAUAAAACCAUUCCUUUAUCCAUCUUAAUUGUAUUUAGCGACUGAAGAAGAAAAAAGAUAAUGGAUGAUGGAGUGAAAGUGAAGGUCGAAGAAGAGGGCAUUGCCACUGCCGUGCUGCCUAUGGAGGGGCUGCAUGAUGUUGGCCCACCACCGUUUCUAAGCAAGACGUACGAAAUGGUGGAAGACUCUUCAACUGAUGAAGUCAUUUCAUGGAGCAGAGAAAGGAAUAGCUUCAUUGUUUGGGACUCUCAUAAGUUCUCUACCACAUUGCUCCCUAGGUUUUUCAAGCACAGUAAUUUCUCCAGUUUCAUUCGUCAGCUUAACACAUAUGGUUUUAGAAAGGUGGAUCCUGACAGAUGGGAAUUCGCGAAUGAAGGUUUUCUGGGAGGACAGAAGCAUCUUUUGAAGACCAUAAAGAGGAGGAGGAAUGUUGGUCAAAGCAUGAGCCAACAAGGAUCUGGUCCUUGCAUUGAAGUAGGUUAUUAUGGAAUGGAGGAGGAACUUGAAAGAUUAAAGCGAGAUAAAAACGUGUUGAUGACUGAAAUAGUUAAACUUAGACAGCAGCAGCAGAGUGCCAGAAAUCAGAUCAUUGCUAUGGGAGAAAAAAUUGAAAGCACAGAGAAGAAACAAGAGCAGAUGAUAAAUUUCCUGGCAAAGAUAUUCAGCAAUCCAACUUUUCUCCAGCAGUACUUGGACAAACAUGUGCAGAGGAAAGAUAAACAACGCAUUGAAGUUGGACAAAAGAGGAGACUGACAAUGACCCCCAGUAUUGAGAACCUUCAAGAUGUAGCAUCAGUAGCCACAGCAAGUGAUCAGCCUAUGAAUUACUCAAACCAAGAGCGUGAAGCUGAGCUUACAAAUAUUGGAACUGAUAUUGAAAUGUUAUUCUCUGCUGCAUUGGAAAAUGAAUCAAGCAGCAAUGUCAGGUCAGCUUCUGUUGUGACAGCAAGUGGAACCGAUAUGGAACCAGUGCCGGAGAAUAUUUGGGAAGAGUUGCUUGGUGAUGAUCAUAUAUCUGGUGAUGGAGCAGAGGAAGUACCGAUUGUUGAUCAACCUGAAUUUGUCGUGGAAGUUGAAGAUCUUGUUUCUAAAACACCUGUAUGGGGUGAGGAAUUAGAAGAUCUUGUAGAUCAACUUGGUUUCCUUUAGGUUCAAUUCCUAAAAGCUUCAGUUUGCGGGGACCUCUUGUUGUUCCUCUGGCGUUCUUAGCACAAUUCUAUUAUCCUAUAUGGAGUAUGCAUUUUGGUUAAGUUACUGCUUUCAAAUAUGUUUAGCUGAUGUCUUGUACUUCUUGUUUCUCUUCUAUAGCAGGGAAUGAUAGAGUCGUGGGGUGCAUAAAGCUAAUUUUUUCUAUUUCAUAUACUUUAUUCAUGUAUCGAUUCUACUAAUAUAUUGGAAAAGUGAAGUGCAGAAUUAAUAUUUUCCUUUUAUUUGGUUUAUUUUUCAGGUUAAGAUGGAGAUCUACUUUCAGGAAGCUAUGAGGCAAUCUCUAGUAGCUCAUGUUUACAAGAAGCAGCCGCCGCAAUCUCUGGUAGAUCGUUCUUUUGGUUCGGAACUUCUCAUGGAUGAUAGCUGCCUGACAUCAUGUAUCAAAUUUGAUUUGUGUAUAUAUGAUCUGUCAUGCUCUACGGAAAAAAAGUCGCGUUUGUCUGUGAUAACUUUUCCGUUUAAUGAGGGGAGCUAUUUAACUAGAUACUUGGCCAAAUUUCUGGAGUGGGACGUCAUAGUUUAGAUUGAGAUGCCAACGUAUAUGAUGUUACCUGGAGUAAUUUCCAUGGAUAGGCAUCCAUGUUUUUGCAAUUACUUAUAAAUAUCACUUUUAUUUUGUUUAGGCAAGAAUAUCAAAAAAUAUUUGACACUUCAAAAAUAUUUCUUUUC